rnacentral:rRNA from 1 species
GAUGAACGCUGGCGGCGUGCCUAACACAUGCAAGUCGAGCGAAGAGGGGACGGGUGUGUCACACGUGGUUAACCUACUAUACGAAUGGGAUAACUUCGGGUAACCGGAGCUAAUCCGGCAUAUUAUCGAUGUAUCUGCGCUGCAUUAGCUAGUUGGGAAGGUAACGGCCUACCCAGGCAACGAUGCAUACCCGACCUGAGAGGGUGAGCGGCCACACUGGAACGUAGACACGGUCCAGACGGCUACGGGAGGCAGCAGGAGGGAAUCUUGCGCAAUGGGCGAAAGCCUGACGGAGCAACGCCGCGUGUGUGAUGAAGGUCUUCGGAUCGUAAAAUUCUGUUAGUAGGGAAGCGGUACCUAAUCAAAAAGCCACGGCUAACUACGUGCCAGCAGCCGCGGUAAUAC